rnacentral:lncRNA from 1 species
GUUCGAUCUAGAAUUAAUUUUGCAUGAGCUCAGAAGUACGUGUGACCUUGAUUACUCGUUGCUAGGACGCUGCCGGAGCAGACGACGCGCGGUCGUGUUCACGGAGUUGGCGAUGGAAGAUUUCGGCGGUCUUUUCGAUUACCAUGGCGUCGACCUUUUACAAGAAGUGCGCCUUUAGAAAUGACAUAGACUCGCUAUGGUCCACGAUACGCAAGCAGGUAACGGUGACCCUUUCUUGCAGGCCAGCUUCGAGCGGCAAAACAAGGCAAAGUCGGCAUAUCUGUUCAGCUACGUCGAAAGUCCUCCUGCUUACCUUCCGCUGAAAAGAGACUGCCUUCCUGUUGAUACGCCAUCAAAACCUUUCCUCCCGACAACGAGUUCUUGCGGAGAGCUGCCCAGUUCGCGGCCGAAUUCCUCGCCGACUGGCCAUGUCCUCAGGAGUUCUCGAGGCCACCCGUAGCGGCCCACAGCCUUCGCUUCCGAGAGGACCACGAACAGCCGCCGUGGUGCGAGGGUGCCUUCCGGGUCGGCGAACUCUGCGGCGAGGACGAGGUCGCCAGCAGUGACCUGCGGAAGGAACAGCAUGACCUCAU